UAGGGAAUAUUGCUCAAUGGGGCGAAAGCCUGAAGCAGCAACGCCGCGUGGAGGAUGACACUUUUCGGAGCGUAAACUCCUUUUCUUAGGGAAGAACAAUGACGGUACCUAAGGAAUAAGCACCGGCUAACUCCGUGCCAGCAGCCGCGGUAAUACGGAGGGUGCAAGCGUUACUCGGAAUCACUGGGCGUAAAGGACGCGUAGGCGGAUUAUCAAGUCUUUUGUGAAAUCUAAUGGCUUAACCAUUAAACUGCUUGAGAAACUGAUAAUCUAGAGUGAGGGAGAGGCAGAUGGAAUUGGUGGUGUAGGGGUAAAAUCCGUAGAG
rnacentral:rRNA from 1 species